AUUGAACGCUGGCGGCAGGCCUAACACAUGCAAGUCGAGCGGGGUUUUCGGACCUAGCGGCGGACGGGUGAGUAAUGCGUAGGAAGCUGCCCGAUAGAGGGGGAUACCAGUUGGAAACGACUGUUAAUACCGCAUAAUGUCUACGGACCAAAGUGUGGGACCUUCGGGCCACAUGCUAUCGGAUGCGCCUAAGUGGGAUUAGCUAGUUGGUGAGGUAAUGGCUCACCAAGGCGACGAUCUCUAGCUGGUUUGAGAGGAUGAUCAGCCACACUGGAACUGAGACACGGUCCAGACUCCUACGGGAGGCAGCAGUGGGGAAUAUUGGACAAUGGGCGAAAGCCUGAUCCAGCAAUGCCGCGUGUGUGAAGAAGGCCUUAGGGUUGUAAAGCACUUUCAGUGGGGAGGAAGUUGUGUGUGCUAAUACCAUAUACAAUUGACGUUACCCACAGAAGAAGCACCGGCUAACUCUGUGCCAGCAGCCGCGGUAAUAC
rnacentral:rRNA from 1 species